UCGUGUUAUCUCCAAUGCUCGUAGCCCAAGCAAUCUUAUGCUUGAGCCUUUGAUUAAACCAGGUACCCCGGCGACCCGUGUAAUUGAGUUUGGCAACCCAUGAUUCCCUCCUCGGGCUUAAAAGUACUGACUGUAGACUUCACUUCAAUCCUAAACACAAGUUCCAAGCACCCACCUGAUAUGGCCUUGCUACAUGUGGUCGAGGCUUCAUCUUCCAAGCCCCAUAUCACUCUCUCUCUUGUCAGUACUUGUGAUUUUGAGGAAAAGUAUUCCGAGACACAACUCAGUGGGAAUGAGAUACGCGUCUAUAUUGACCAAAUAAAUAUAGCCACGGUGGUUUCGCAAUAUCGGCACUGCAGGUUAUGAGUUUGAGGGGUCACCGAUCCUUCUGGAGCCGCCAUUGGACUAAGUUGAUUGGAUAAGCCUACCGCCAACAGUGAGCGCAAUAGAGAUCUACACGUCUACUGAUGCAUCACUGAACUAAGAACCUCCCAAGAUGACUGUGAGUGCAUGGUUGUGCUCUUUUUUCUCAAAAAUGUAGAGAUGAUGCCAAGCAAGAUAGGUAGGAUAUGAUCCUAUUGAAUCAUGUUCGGUUCAAAUUUGCUGGUGCUCUAUCUUAUCUGCUGGUAGUCCUCGUUAUUCUUUAGUCUGGUUUAUUUGAAUAUGCCAAAUCAUAGACGGCUUCCAGCAACUGCAAGGAUGGAGAGGCGAACCAUGUUUUCCUUCAGACACGCAUUGGCAGUGGGUCUCUUGUGAUGGCUGGUCGAGGGUGAUAUCAAUGUACGGGCAUGUGAAUUUGACUCUGAAUUAAUCAGACAUCUAUAUUUGAUUUCCUUCCAGUGAUAUUAACUCAAGCUUGCUGGUCUUUUGCUGUAACCUCUUGAGUUAUGGUCUGUCUGGUCGUCUCCCCGACUUCAGCUAAGUGCAGGCCCUUGAAACAAUAGAUCUGGAAAACAAGCAACCUUUUCGGACCAAUCCUGAAUUUUUGGGACUACUACCUAAUCUGAAGUCACUUUGACAGUAUCCUUGCAAAUAACAACUUCACCGGCACCAUACCGAAGAGCAUAAUCAGCAGGAAGCAGCUAGUACUUGUGUAAGUGUUGAUGGGAAAACGUGCAUCGGCGAGGAACAUUCCCCUUGGAUGAGUGGCAUUGCAAUUGCAAUAUUUGUGGCUUUGCUGUCUGUUGCAUUUGCCGCUUACAUGCCAUGGAAAAAAAAAAGACUGAAAAAAAUAUACACGGAAUGGGUGAUAUAUAGUUGUUUCUGCUUCAUUUAAUUCGAUUCUACAGGAUAAAAUCUAUGCUAUGCCAUA